rfam:Picea glauca, whole genome shotgun sequence.
UGCUUAGAACAUAACGUUAAUGCAUCAGAUCGCAUUAGAACUUCGCAGUUAAGAGAGCUCAAGCUAGAGUAGUACUGGGAUGGGUGACCGUCUGGGAAGCACUGGUAUUUUACAUGC